CAUAGGUUAAUGAGGCGAACCGGGGGAACUGAAACAUCUAAGUACCCCGAGGAAAAGAAAUCAACCGAGAUUCCCCCAGUAGCGGCGAGCGAACGGGGAGGAGCCCAGAGCCUGAAUCAGUGUGUGUGUUAGUGGAAGCGUCUGGAAAGGCGCGCGAUACAGGGUGACAGCCCCGUACACAAAAAUGCACAUACUGUGAGCUCGAUGAGUAGGGCGGGACACGUGGUAUCCUGUCUGAAUAUGGGGGGACCAUCCUCCAAGGCUAAAUACUCCUGACUGACCGAUAGUGAACCAGUACCGUGAGGGAAAGGCGAAAAGAACCCCGGCGAGGGGAGUGAAAAAGAACCUGAAACCGUGUACGUACAAGCAGUGGGAGCCUCUUAAUGGGGUGACUGCGUACCUUUUGUAUAAUGGGUCAGCGACUUAUAUUCUGUAGCAAGGUUAACCGAAUAGGGGAGCCGAAGGGAAACCGAGUCUUAACUGGGCGUUAAGUUGCAGGGUAUAGACCCGAAACCCGGUGAUCUAGCCAUGGGCAGGUUGAAGGUUGGGUAACACUAACUGGAGGACCGAACCGACUAAUGUUGAAAAAUUAGCGGAUGACUUGUGGCUGGGGGUGAAAGGCCAAUCAAACCGGGAGAUAGCUGGUUCUCCCCGAAAGCUAUUUAGGUAGCGCCUCGUGAAUUCAUCUCCGGGGGUAGAGCACUGUUUCGGCAAGGGGGUCAUCCCGACUUACCAACCCGAUGCAAACUGCGAAUACCGGAGAAUGUUAUCACGGGAGACACACGGCGGGUGCUAACGUCCGUCGUGAAGAGGGAAACAACCCAGACCGCCAGCUAAGGUCCCAAAGUCAUGGUUAAGUGGGAAACGAUGUGGGAAGGCCCAGACAGCCAGGAUGUUGGCUUAGAAGCAGCCAUCAUUUAAAGAAAGCGUAAUAGCUCACUGGUCGAGUCGGCCUGCGCGGAAGAUGUAACGGGGCUAAACCAUGCACCGAAGCUGCGGCAGCGACACUAUGUGUUGUUGGGUAGGGGAGCGUUCUGUAAGCCUGUGAAGGUGUACUGUGAGGUAUGCUGGAGGUAUCAGAAGUGCGAAUGCUGACAUAAGUAACGAUAAAGCGGGUGAAAAGCCCGCUCGCCGGAAGACCAAGGGUUCCUGUCCAACGUUAAUCGGGGCAGGGUGAGUCGACCCCUAAGGCGAGGCCGAAAGGCGUAGUCGAUGGGAAACAGGUUAAUAUUCCUGUACUUGGUGUUACUGCGAAGGGGGGACGGAGAAGGCUAUGUUGGCCGGGCGACGGUUGUCCCGGUUUAAGCGUGUAGGCUGGUUUUCCAGGCAAAUCCGGAAAAUCAAGGCUGAGGCGUGAUGACGAGGCACUACGGUGCUGAAGCGACAAAUGCCCUGCUUCCAGGAAAAGCCUCUAAGCAUCAGGUAACAUCAAAUCGUACCCCAAACCGACACAGGUGGUCAGGUAGAGAAUACCAAGGCGCUUGAGAGAACUCGGGUGAAGGAACUAGGCAAAAUGGUGCCGUAACUUCGGGAGAAGGCACGCUGAUAUGUAGGUGAAGCGACUUGCUCGUGGAGCUGAAAUCAGUCGAAGAUACCAGCUGGCUGCAACUGUUUAUUAAAAACACAGCACUGUGCAAACACGAAAGUGGACGUAUACGGUGUGACGCCUGCCCGGUGCCGGAAGGUUAAUUGAUGGGGUUAGCGGUAACGCGAAGCUCUUGAUCGAAGCCCCGGUAAACGGCGGCCGUAACUAUAACGGUCCUAAGGUAGCGAAAUUCCUUGUCGGGUAAGUUCCGACCUGCACGAAUGGCGUAAUGAUGGCCAGGCUGUCUCCACCCGAGACUCAGUGAAAUUGAACUCGCUGUGAAGAUGCAGUGUACCCGCGGCAAGACGGAAAGACCCCGUGAACCUUUACUAUAGCUUGACACUGAACAUUGAGCCUUGAUGUGUAGGAUAGGUGGGAGGCUUUGAAGUGUGGACGCCAGUCUGCAUGGAGCCGACCUUGAAAUACCACCCUUUAAUGUUUGAUGUUCUAACGUGGGCCCCUUACCGGGGUUGCGGACAGUGUCUGGUGGGUAGUUUGACUGGGGCGGUCUCCUCCUAAAGAGUAACGGAGGAGCACGAAGGUUGGCUAAUCCUGGUCGGACAUCAGGAGGUUAGUGCAAUGGCAUAAGCCAGCUUGACUGCGAGCGUGACGGCGCGAGCAGGUGCGAAAGCAGGUCAUAGUGAUCCGGUGGUUCUGAAUGGAAGGGCCAUCGCUCAACGGAUAAAAGGUACUCCGGGGAUAACAGGCUGAUACCGCCCAAGAGUUCAUAUCGACGGCGGUGUUUGGCACCUCGAUGUCGGCUCAUCACAUCCUGGGGCUGAAGUAGGUCCCAAGGGUAUGGCUGUUCGCCAUUUAAAGUGGUACGCGAGCUGGGUUUAGAACGUCGUGAGACAGUUCGGUCCCUAUCUGCCGUGGGCGCUGGAGAACUGAGGGGGGCUGCUCCUAGUACGAGAGGACCGGAGUGGACGCAUCACUGGUGUUCGGGUUGUCAUGCCAAUGGCACUGCCCGGUAGCUAAAUGCGGAAGAGAUAAGUGCUGAAAGCAUCUAAGCACGAAACUUGCCCCGAGAUGAGUU
rnacentral:rRNA from 1 species